UGGCAAAAUCUAUAAAGUGUGUCCCAACCCAGAGCUUCUCAGUUACACCUGUACUGCCUCUGGGUUAGAGCAUUAGCUUUUCUUCAGAAACAUUUUAACAUUUUUAAAAUACAAAAACAUGGCCAAUAUGAGUAGUGAAGAACUUUUUAAACUUUUUACUCAGUAUGCUGUAAAAGAGGGUAGUACUCAUCUGCUCUCCAUGACAGGACUGAACAACUUGCUUCAGAAUCAUUUCUCAAACCUUAUGGGUUCAUUCACUCUCAGUGAUAUGGCCAAAUAUGUGCAGAUAGAUAAAGAAGGAAAAAUGAGCUUUGAUGUUUUCAAGGCACUGAUAAGCAAGAUAAGUGGAUUAUCUGCUUGGAGUGGAUUAACAAAUCUGGUGUCCUAAACAUACUAUGAAGAGGAAGAACACAGAGGGGGAAAAAACCCUUGUGAGAUCUGAACCAACAGUACUAUGAACAUUAAGUACGACUUCGCGCAAAAAAGAAAUCUGUUUUUCA